UGGGGAAUUUUGGACAAUGGGGGAAACCCUGAUCCAGUCAUCCCGCGUGUGCGAUGAAGGCCUUCGGGUUGUAAAGCACUUUUGGCAGGAAAGAAACGUCAUGGGUUAAUACCCCGUGAAACUGACGGUACCUGCAGAAUAAGCACCGGCUAACUACGUGCCAGCAGCCGCGGUAAUACGUAGGGUGCAAGCGUUAAUCGGAAUUACUGGGCGUAAAGCGUGCGCAGGCGGUUCGGAAAGAAAGAUGUGAAAUCCCAGAGCUCAACUUUGGAACUUCCUUUUUAACUUCCGGGCUAGGGUGUGUCAGAAGGAGGUUGGAUUCCGCGUGUAGCAGUGAAAUGCGUAAAUAUGCGGAGGAACCCCGAUGGCGAAGGCAGCCUCCUGGGAUAACACUGACGCUCAUGCCAGAAAGCGUGGGGAGCAAACAGG
rnacentral:rRNA from 1 species